AGCGAACGCUGGCGGCAGGCUUAACACAUGCAAGUCGAGCGGGCACCUUUGGGUGUCAGCGGCAGACGGGUGAGUAACACGUGGGAACGUGCCCUUUGGUUCGGAACAACUCCGGGAAACUGGAGCUAAUACCGGAUAAGCCCUUCGGGGAAGGAUUUAUCGCCAAAGGAUCGGCCCGCGUCUGAUUAGCUAGUUGGUGAGGUAACGGCUCACCAAGGCGACGAUCAGUAGCUGGUCUGAGAGGAUGAUCAGCCACACUGGGACUGAGACACGGCCCAGACUCCUACGGGAGGCAGCAGUGGGGAAUUUUGGACAAUGGGGGCGAACCCUGAUCCAGCAAUGCCGCGUGUGUGAAGAAGGCCUCGGUUG
rnacentral:rRNA from 1 species